ACUGAAGGGAAAAAGUUCUCAAACUUACACGGAGCGCUCCACGUACCAACUUCCAGAACUACAACCACCAGAGAGAAGUAAAGACACUCGCCAGUUUUCGUUUUGUUUUGUUUUGUUUUUGUGACUCGGGGUACAAGGAGCCCAAAGCCACUAUUUUCCUCAAGAGUGUGAAGAAGCAGGGGCGGGCUCACCAUUGUUCCUGAGGAGGGAACAUACUCAGCUAGAAUUGGAUCAACAGUUGGGAUACUGUUUCCCUGUUUUUCUCAGGCGGAUCCUUCUGGAAUAAACUUCCAACUCUACAGUGGAAAGUUUCCAGUAAAACUUUUCGAAAGCUGUGCGUGACAGCAUCGUUCGUCAUAGCCCCAAACUGGAAGACACUCCAGCAUCCCUGACGAGGGUUCUAUGUUUCACAAAGGUUUUGACUAAAAGAUGGUUGAUAUAUAUGCACAGUAAUGGACUCCCUUCAAGGCCUUUUGUAAGGCUGGGUGGGGUGGCAGAGGCCUGUAAUGUCAGCACUUGGGAGGUAAGGGGAUCAAGAAUUCAAUGUCAUCCUCACCUACACAGCCCAGGUAAAGGUGGGAAGUGAGAACCAACUGGAAAUGCCUUGCUGGCUUUUGGUCUUGCUUUGGUCCAGCAUUUCCUCACAAAGCUCCCUUUCGUCUCUUUUGGAAUGGUUAUGUAUAUUUUGUGCCAUCAUAUGUUGGAAGUGUGUGAUUUGCUCCUUGUUACAGGGGGUUGCAGUUAAGAGACUGCCUCAAGUCUCAGCAAAGAUGUGGACUUUAAACAGUGUUGCGACUGGAGAGCUUACUUACGGGUGGUUUUGAAGUUGGAUUGAAUGCAUUUUGCAAUAUGAUAUGGUCACAAGUCUAUGGGGGCCAGGGAAUGGAUGAUGGUGGGUUGAAUGAGAUUCACGUAUGUGUAUGCUUAGUCACUAGCCAUUUGAAAGGAUUAGAAGGAUGAGGAGAUGCGGCCUCGCUGGAGAAGUGUGUCACUAAGGGUGGGCUUUGAGGUUUCAAACGCCCAUGCCAGGCCCAUUCUCACUCCCUUGGCUUGGGGAUCAGGAUGGAAAGCUCUCAGCUCGAGAGACACCAUGCUCCACGCCAUAAAGAUAAUGCCCUAAGCCUCUGAAACUAUAAGCCAGCACCCAAUUAAGGGCUUUCCUUUGUAAGAAUUGCCUUGGUCAUAGCUCCUUCACAGCCACAGAACCAUGACUAAAACAGAACACUCACAAAUGAAAUGAAAAGUAUUUUUAAGGGCUGGAGAGAUGGCUCAGCGGUUAAGAGCACCCGACUGCUCUUCCAGAGGUCAUGAGUUCAAUUCCCAGCAACCACAUGGUGGCUCACAACCAUCUGUAAAGAGAUCCGAUGCCCUCUUCUGGUGUAUCUGAAGACAGCUACAGUGUACUUAUAUAUAAUAAAUGAAUAAAUCUUUAAAAAAAAAAAAAGAAAAGAAAA